GUAACGGCGAUACGUCUCGGGGAGGUGUGUAGCAACCUUUGAUCCGGGAAUUUCCGAAUGGGGAAACCUAAUCACGCAAAACGUGAUUGCUUCUUGACGUAAGAUCAGGAAGAGCAAACCCGCUGAAGUGAA
rnacentral:misc_RNA from 1 species